AGAAUCAAGUGAGAAAUCUUGAAAAAAGAAACAGAGAAGAAAAGAGUUGGGAAGAAAAUUUUAGAAGAGUAGAGGUUCUCAAGGAUUUUUGGGAGAACAACUUCUGAGUAGGAAACUAAGUCUGGAGAAAAGGUAAGGGGAGCUAACCUUUCUUAGUUUUUAUAUUAUAAAAUAUAUAUAUAUAUAUAUAUAUAUAUAUAUAUAUAUAUAUAUAUAUAUAUAUAUAUAUAUAUAUAUAUAUAUAUAUAUAUAUUUUAACUAUUUAUGUCUUGAAAUUUUGUGUAAUUACCGUUAAUGAAAAACCUAUGUGCUUGUUGUAUAACUAUUUGAAUUUCUGUGAUAAUAUUAUAUGUUGCUGUUUUGAAUCUGUGAAUAAGAAAUUUGUUAAUAACACGUUGAGGAACACUUUGGCUAAGGAAAGACCUGGUACUUAAGUUGUCCAUUGUGACACACCUCUCUUUCCUGGAAGUCUACUCAAUGUGUUUUUAACUGAUUCUUAUCAAACAGAUUAUGUGCAGUUAAAUUAUUCUGUGAUAUAUUCAAUUUGUAUGAUUUUUGGGGAUGGAUGGACUUUAUGAUGUUUGUAUGAAUUAUUGAGUGUAUAUCCUUUUUCUAUUACAUCUAUCUGGAAGGAUAAAAAGAUGUCUAACCGGCUUUGCUAGAUUCAACUUCUUGGUUUCCCAGAACGUUUAUAUUAAAAUUAUUUUUUAUGGUAACUUACCAUUACUUUUUGUGUUGUAUGUAUUAUAUUAUGUUGGAUGUGAAAUUUAUGUAAUUGAGCGUAAUGGGAAUGUGGUAGAGAGUGGGAAAUCCUUACCGAGGACCCAUCUUGAGAAGUUGGACAGAGUAGGAAGGAUGUAGUUUCAGUGGUUGUAAUUAUAUCCGAAGAUCCAAUUUGGGAGGACAGAGUAGGAUAUGAUAAUUGAGCUAGCAAGUAGGUGCAUCCAUAUCCAAAGAUCCACUUUGGGGGAUAAAGUAGGAUAUGAUGUACCUGAGUAAAGUACUACUGCAAGCGUAGAACCUAUUUAGAGUUCGAUAUUCAUACGAUUGUUUGAUUGGGUUGAGUUUAUGAUGAUCAUGGUGUGUUUAUUGUAUUAUUAAGAGAUUUGAUUUAUAAGUUAGAUAUUAUGUCAUUAAUUUAAAUAUAUAUUAUGUUACUUUGUUACAAUAGCUCACCCUUGCUUUAUCUGUUGUUUGGUGAUUACUAUUGUGUUGUGUGUUUUCUCUCGGCGAUGAUCAUCCGGUGGGUGUGAGCAGAAAGUGGUGAGAUGCCGGUGGAACAUGUGCUAGAUGGAGGAUCAACUAGUGUUUAGCUCUUAUGGACGAAAUCCCUAUUUUAAUCGUUUUAAGUUUGGAAUAUAUUAAGUUUAAAAAAAUUGAGUGAUGGUUUGUAUAUUGAGGAAAACUUUUAUUCCUCGUUUCUAUGACUAUUCUAUCAUAUCAAGAAUGUAAUAACUAUAUUAUAGUUUAAUACUAUAAUUAUUGGGAUGUUACAAUUGACAAUGUUAAUAUAUAUGCAAAUAUUUC
rnacentral:lncRNA from 1 species